UCCUACGGGAGGCAGCAGUGGGGAAUAUUGGACAAUGGGGGCAACCCUGAUCCAGCCAUGCCGCGUGUGUGAAGAAGGCCCUCGGGUUGUAAAGCACUUUCAGCGAGGAAGAACGCCUAGCGGUUAAUACCGGCUAGGAAAGACAUCACUCGCAGAAGAAGCACCGGCUAACUCCGUGCCAGCAGCCGCGGUAAUACGGAGGGUGCAAGCGUUAAUCGGAAUUACUGGGCGUAAAGCGCGCGUAGGUGGCUUGAUAAGCCGGUUGUGAAAGCCCCGGGCUCAACCUGGGAACGGCAUCCGGAACUGUCAAGCUAGAGUGCAGGAGAGGAAGGUAGAAUUCCCGGUGUAGCGGUGAAAUGCGUAGAGAUCGGGAGGAAUACCAGUGGCGAAGGCGGCCUUCUGGACUGACACUGACACUGAGGUGCGAAAGCGUGGGUAGCAAACAGGAUUAGAUACCCUGGUAGUCCACGCCGUAAACGAUGUCGACCAGCCGUUGGGUGCCUAGCGCACUUUGUGGCGAAGUUAACGCGAUAAGUCGACCGCCUGGGGAGUACGGCCGCAAGGUUAAAACUCAAAUGAAUUGACGG
rnacentral:rRNA from 1 species